CAUCAGAUAUCUGUAAGCACUCAUCCCUACCCCCCACCCCACCUCCUUCCCCCAUAAGUUUUGGCGCAGCGAGCAGGGUGUGAUCGGGAAUCCUCGGAGAGUUUCUCACAACCAGGGAUAGAGCAAAGCAUACUGGUUCCUUGUGGAAGUACACCCUCUUAAGCCCAGGACCCUCCAGAAACCCCCUCGUGGAUGGACGUACAGGAGGGAGAUCAAGUCAUGAAACCUUCAGUGAAAUGACAGGAGAGAGCAGUGAAAUGAAAAGCCCCUCUACUGCCCUACUAUGUAUUUCUUACCUUCCCCUCAAAUCUGGCCGUGCCUCCCAGCAGCACCCGGAUAUUCCUAGGAGGAAGAAUGAAUGCUGGUGCUUCUGUUGGGACAGAGGGGCUGAGAGAUGAGUGCUCCAGCGUCACAGAGGUUUUGGAAAUACGAGUCGAUGACACCAGUUUCACAUCCCCCAUGGUUAAAGCUUUCAAAGAGAAAGAGAAACAAGAAGUAAAAUGUUGACUUGUUACUAUUAUUUAUACAACAGUAGCAACUAGGGGCCACUAAGAUCACGGCUUGGUUGUGCCAUAUGUACACAUAGUAAGAGACAAUCCCUGCCCCAAAGAGCCUUCAGUCUUAAGUGACAAGUAUUAUUCCCAUUUUACAGAUGGGGAACUGAGGCCCUAAGAGUUUAAGCGAGUUGCCUAAGAUCACACAGUAAAUCAGUGAGAGCUUUGAACUUCAUGCAAAUCUCCCAAGUCCCAAUCCAGUACCUUAACCACAAGCACGCCCUUCUCAGCUGUGCUUUAACUGUAAUAGUGCACUUAAAGUUGUUUUUAACAAUAUGACUCUUUGGUUUUCCUGGCGUAGAAUACACGGACAAUCAACAGGCUGUAAAAGCAGAGCCAAUGUUAAACAAAUACAUGUGACAUAAAGAGUUCUAUUUCCAAUGGAUUUAAGUUA